GCCGGGCGUGGUGGCGCGCGCCUGUAUCCCAGCUACUCGGGAGGCUGAGGUGGGAGGAUCGCUUGAGUCCAGGAGUUCUGGGCUGCAGUGCGCUAUGCCGAUCGGGUGUCCGCACUAAGUUCGGCAUCAAUAUGGUGACCUCCCGGGAGCGGGGGACCACCAGGUUGCCUAAGGAGGGGUGAACCGGCCCAGCUCGGAAACGGAGCAGGUCAAAACUCCCGUGCUGAUCAAGAAAGUAAAAGGCUCACACGGUUUUAUACCCUCUUCACUCAAACUCCAAAAGAUUGCAACUUUU
rnacentral:SRP_RNA from 1 species